AAAGUAAUCCCCCAAGCCCUGCUUUCGAUGGUCCGCCGAUAUGAGCAGGAGUAUGCUCCACAGUGCUCUGGCAUCGUUGCUUCUGCUGCUACGCAAAUAGGUGGAUGACCGGUCAAAGAUGGCGGCCGUAUUUCUCGCGCCCCAGCAGCCAAUGCGGCGUCUACACUUUAUUAUGUCUAUGGUUGCCUCGGUCUAAAGGACCGCGGCCAGCCGGCGGCAAGAUGCUUUUAAAUACAAGGCUACUCUCAAAAUCGACCGUCCAUGUUGGUUUGGACACACAUUCGCAUCAGUUCGUCGCUCAAUCGCGAGUUACAGCCUGCAGUUUGCUAGCUAGCAAAGUCAUCGACUACCAACGUUUAAAUACCUUGGCCAGAGCAUAACCGGUUAUCUUCACCCAAGAGACCUACUGUUGGUCAGUCGUUUUGGUUUUAAAGGUAAGUGCAUUGUUAGUCACAAUGUCUAGUUACUGGGCCAAAUGGAAAAUAAUAUUGAAAAGAUUUGAGAGGGACAAACAGGACAUUCACUUGAAUCACUACAUGCUACAGAAGUUGCAUCGAUUCCAGAAAACCAGGAAAAUGUUGAGCCAUCUGUAGACUUCAGAGCUGGUAUGUAAAAUGUAUUGCUGUGAUGCUUAAUUUGUGAUCCUGUAACUAAACUAUACACUUUGUUAGAUUUUCAAAUUUCUGUUCCCUAGCUCUUUCUCAGAACCAGGUUUCUCCCCAGUAAUCCAGACUCCAUUUCACAGAGCCAAGAGUUUGAGUACAAGUAAGUGAUGUUAUUUGUGACAUUUUUUGUCUUGGAAACUAUUGCUUCUAUUUAAGAUUAGGAAUCCUUUUAUCCAUAAUCUGUUUUUCAUUAGGGCACUUGACUUUCUGGAUAAAAGGUGUCGGUGUGUUGUACAUAUCAUUAGCUUUGCACAGUUCAAUUAUUGUUUCAUUACUGAAUAUGCAAUCUCUGCAGUGAAAUUAAAGCUGUUAUGUUUGUUCCCCCAGCUCGUCAAGUACUAAGCUUUACACCCCCAGCAGCAAAUUUACCCUGGCAGCAUAUGGGUGAAAACGCUGGAGGUAUGUAAUACGUUGCGCUAAACUAUGUUUUACAUUUAAGUCCAUCCAUCUUCUUCCGCUUAUCCGGGGCCGGGUCGCGGGGGCAGCAGUCUAAGCAGGGAUGCCCAGACUUCCCUCUCCCCAGACACUUCCUCUAUCUCUUCCGGGGGACACAGAGGCGUUCCCAGGCCAGCCGGGAGACAUAGUCCCUCCAGCGUGUCCUAGGCCUUCCCCGGGGUCUCCUCUCGGUGGGACGGGACCGGAACACCUUCCCAGGAAGGCGUUCCGGAGGCAUCCGAAACAGAUGCCCAAGCCACCUCAGCUGACCCCUCUCGAUGUGGAGGAGUCCAAUUCAUUAAAUAUUUCCAGUGACUCCAGAAUGAAAACCAAGCUCUGAGGGAGGAGAACCAAGCCCUGAGGGAAUGCAAUGCACAAGCGGCUUCGGAUGACAGCCGCUCACUUCAAGAGCAGGUGAAGCAAGUAGGGACAAUGUUGAAGACGUUUGCUCUCACUGGGCAAUCAGGUGCGUUACCUGAAAGGAGCAUCUGACCGUGAAGGCAGAAAAAGCCGCACAGCUGAGAAGGACCCACAGCCGACCCCUUCAACCUAGGCUGACUACUGACACCCCAGCAUCACUGAACUGGAACACUUUCUUUAUCCUGCAGUGCAGUCACUCACCCUGUUUUUUUUUUUGUAUUUUAACUUUAGUAUUGGCUUAUUUCAUUCCGUCUUAACGAUUCUAUUAUAGUUUGUAAAUCCUAUUUCAUACCUGUUACUUGAUAUUGCACAUUAACUAGUACCAAAAUUCUAAUUUCAUUUCAUCAGUGUGCUUAACUGUUAUUCUAUUAAUAAUAGCUUGGAAAUACUAUUUCGUACCUCUGAUACUUGAUAUUGCACAUUACCUGGUACCAAAUAUUCUACUUACUGUUUUUAACAUCAGCAUUUUUCAUUCCAUCACUGUGCUUAACUGUUAUUCUAUUGUUAAAUACAGCUUGUAAAUCCUUGUGACACAGAUCUUAUUGCAGCACGGUGUAAAUCUUGUGCUCCAGGUCAGCAAUGUGUAGAUGUAUUGAUUGUAUAAGUUAGUGAACUGUUGUAAGCUGUUGUAACCAAUGAAACAAAAUAUUAAAUGUUUGUAGUAUGAGCUGAAACUGAAGGUGCAAGUAGGAGAAUAGGAAACCCUGUUCAAGCGGUUGCCGGGGAGAGAAAGAUUUAGUAUGUCUGUCUUUGGAGAAACAGGACACGGUUAGAGACACACACAUAGCCUGACAGACAAGACAGAAACCAGAUGGGGGGGCAAGAAGAUGUUUGCAUUUACCCUUAUAAGGAAUAGAACUGGAACUGGACCAAUAGCAUACUUGCUUUGUGAAUUUAACGACUCUAUCUUUUGGGCGUAGUAGAAGUAUAAAAUGAUCUGUUGAAUGUUGAUCCUUAGACAUUGUGCGGCGACACUUGUCUCCAAAAGCUUUUGUAAUAAACGGAAUAUGCGGUAUGGUAAUUGACCUGACUCCUGGUGUUUUAUUCUCCUUUCCAACAAACCAACUCGGGGAAGUGUUUUGAGAGAGAAGUUGAUGACGAUGGGUGGGGUCCAGGCACGGGAAAGUGGAAACAAUUGGGGAUACAGGUGGCAAAUGUAUCUCCACCACCUGAUGAGGACCCGUCCACCUUGGCUCCGGCCACUUUCGCUUGAUGACCUUCAGCAACACCCACUCCGCCUGGGGCAGGUUCUGGUCCAGCGGGUGCAGGUCCCUCCUAUCUCCGACUCUGUUGGGUGAACCCAGUGGUCUGAUUUAACGAGCAUCGAAUCUUCAUGAG
ensembl:lncRNA